rnacentral:rRNA from 1 species
UACGGAGGGUGCAAGCGUUGUCCGGAUUUAUUGGGUUUAAAGGGUGCGUAGGCGGUUCUUUAAGUCCGGGGUGAAAGCCCACUGCUCAACAGUGGAACUGCCCUGGAAACUGGAGAACUUGAGUCCAGACGAGGUUGGCGGAAUGGAUGCUGUAGCGGUGAAAUGCAUAGAUAGCAUCCAGAACCCCGAUUGCGUAGGCAGCUGACUAGGCUGGUACUGACACUGAGGCACGAAAGCGUGGGGAGCGAACAGG